CGCGGGCGGAAGCUGGAGCGAGGCUGAACGCCUGACGUCAAGGCGACAUCGCCAAACCUCGCCCAGAUUCAGGCGUGUAAACCAGCCGGAGCGGCGCGGCAGCGGCAGGACCGCCGUGGCGCCUAGAGUAGCGACCCGGGGGGAGCGCGGGGCGACGCUGGCUGCAGGGACCCGGUGACAGCGUGAGAGGUACUAGGUUUUGACAAGCUUGCAUCAUGCGUGAGUAUAAGCUAGUCGUUCUUGGCUCAGGAGGCGUUGGAAAGUCUGCUUUGACUGUACAAUUUGUUCAAGGAAUUUUUGUAGAAAAAUAUGAUCCUACGAUAGAAGAUUCUUAUAGAAAGGUAUAUAUUACUUUGGAAGGCCUUUUGCUUUUGAUUUUAAUAUAAAUACUUAUUUUAGCUUUAUAAUUAUUGAAUGUUUUAUACAAAGGAUGGAGGCAGAGUUAAUUUAUAAAAUUAGUGGGAAAAGUUUACACUUUCUGGCAUUGCAUAUUUACCAGUUUAAGAGGAUCAUAAACACCCAUACUCUCACAUAUUCACAGAAUUUUUUUGUAAUUUGACACAUAAACUUUAAAGCAGACCAUCCAUUUCAAGUAGUAGCCCCAUGUUACUUCCAGUCCCCUACCUAGCAAGACUGAUUACUCUCAAGCUCCUUUCUUUUUAACCUAGAAAUAGGUGGACACAAGUCUUCCUAAGCUUUCUACUUACUAACCUCUUGAGAAAGUGCCACCACUCACAAUACUGGUUGAAUAUCCCU
rnacentral:sRNA from 1 species